UGGUAAAGACUUGUGAGAUGAAUAAUCAACAAGGUAAACAUAUUUACCAUUAUCUUCUCCAAAUGGUCCAAUAUCUGGAUCUCUAUUUAUCCACAUUUUGUAAAACUCGUCUUGAGUUAAAUUUUUCUUUUUCUUCUUUUUUCCUGGCUUUGAUGCAGUUAUGUCCAUGCUAUCAAUCCAGGCGGCCAAUCUAUCAUCUGUGCAUAAUUCACAUAAACAGUUUAAAGCCCAAGGACCAUGUCCAGUUACAGGGUCUUUAAACAUGUAUAAAGGUUUUCCAUCUGCGGAAAAACUUUCUAUUAAGCUUCUUUCUGGGCCGGAUUCACACAACGGGCAACAACAGUCUGGAUCUUCUUGAUCAUGGAAUUGUACCGGCUUUUCAUUUGGUUGUAUCAUCAAAUGGGUCGGGAAAAUGUUGGGAUUUUGGAAACUAUGAAGAUGACUAUGAUCAAACUUGAUCUCAGUCGUUCCAUCUCCCUUUGACGUAAUCUGACUUGAGGUUGAUUGGAUCGGUUGGCUAUGCUCAUGAAGUUUUUCAUAGCUAGUGAUCCAUUUAUCUGGGAGGAGUUUAAUUAGUUCCCUUUUUGGAAUUUGUCUCGGAACAUGGACACAAUGAGGCUGGUCAUUUGUAUUUACCGAGAUGAGUAAAGAUCAUCUGUUUCAUGCAUUGAUAAAUUAAAGACAUGAUCCUGAAUCAUGUAGACAAUCUGAUAAUGGAGAGUAGCAGUAAUAGCUGAAGCCACUUGUGGUGCCCUUGUUAUUUGGAUCUGAACUUUCAGAGCUUUGGUCAGAUUGGGAUCUACUAAUGCCAUCGUGAAAUUUGGGAAAAGAGUGACCAUAACAAGUCCAGAAUUUAACAUAGCUUCAAUUGUACCAAUACAUGCAUUUUGUUAUUCUAGGUAUCUAGAAUCCAAAAGUGUAAUUCUUGUAACUACGGGCUUUCCGGCUGUGUCAUGAUAGUUUAAAGUAAGACGUAUAGCUCCAAAAUGAAUAUGAGUAUAACCUGCAUGUUUUCAUUCUGCUGAAAAUUCUGCUGGAAUCUCGAGAGUAACAAUCUGCUCUGGUGAAGCUGCAUAAAUGGGAAAACUAUCAAACCGUGAGGCUUGGAUAUAUUCCCUGACUUGUUUAGUGGAACAUUUGAUUAAAGUUCUGAUGGAUUUUACAAGAGAGAAGGCAGACCUUCUGUAAGCGGCAUUAGGAUUUACUGUAGGAAGAUCUGUAGGCUGAACUUUAUCUUCUUCACUCAAAUAUUAUAUUUCAUAUAAAGAGGAAAUCUUUUUUGCAGAAUGAGAUUUCAUAGGAAAAUCUGGUAAAGAGAUAGGUGUAGAAGAAGUAGAAUGAUGUGUUAACAUAUUUUCUGCCAUGAUUGAGAGAGUUUUCUCCAAAUCUAUCUAUCACCUAGAUUACUAAAUAUAAGUUUUGUUGAACCUGGAGGCUUUGAUACUAAUACGGGUGUGGAUAAACUCAGGGAUUGCAAGAAAGAAGGAAUUGUAGCAGGUAUGCUGUGCCAAAAACUUAAACCCUUUCUCUACACGGGUUAUUCAACAGGCAUUGCCUUUUAGCUACAAAGCCUUAAUUCAAGAUACUUAAGCUAUCCACAUCAAUAUAGGUAUUGUUGAUCAGAAUUUCAAUAUUUCUGAUAUGCAUGAUCCAUUAUAUGGCAAGCACAGAGCAUACUAUAUUGUAAAUUCUUUGUAAACUCAUCUGAAGUUUUCUAAGAAGAAGAUGAUUUAGAGAAAAUGAAAGAUCUUUAGAAAGCCAUAGGUAGAGAAAACACACUAGGAUUUUAUUUAUGAUAUUCUUCUCUGAUCUUUACAAUAAGAAUACAUCACCCUUUUAUAGCUGAAGGGGAUGUAAUACAACAAAAUAGUAAACAGUAUAUAGGAUAAGCAUCAGACAUUAAAGCAUAAAGUAAACAGUAGUAAACAAUACAUAAAGUAAAGAUAGUACUGAUAUUAGACAUUAUUUGAUAUAAAGUAAAACACUUUAAUUAUUUAAAGCAGGAUUCCCGACAAGUGAUUUUUAGCUGUUUGCAUUUGAAUGGGGUGUAAUAUAAUUUAUGUUGGGCUAAGAUAUGUUCGUACAGUAUUUUAUACUUAAAAUUAAUCCCUCAAAUUUUAUUAGUUUUGUUUUAUUGAUGCAUAAAUAGUAAAUACGAAGAAAUUGACUUAAAUACGACACCGAUAAGAUAGAGCCAAUAAAUGAGAAUAGUAUAACCUGCAUUAAGCAUCAGUCACACGACCUAGGUAAGGAUUUGAAUUUUGGAUAACAUAAUUUAUUAACCGUAUUAGUUGGUCGAUUUUAAAUUAUUUUUAUUAUUAUUAAAUAAUAAAACUUUUAUUUUUUUUCUUGUAAAAAAAAUUAUUUAAUUUUAUAUUAAGGUAAAAAGGAUAUUUUUAGUUCAUUUCAAUUUCGAUUUUGAGCAAAUUGACUCCUAUAAAAAACAUCGUAAUAAUUUAGUUUCUAUUAAUUUUAAAAGUGAGUAAUUAAUGUCAAUUAAUCACAAUAUUAAUAUUUUUCGUCAAAAUUUGACCGGUAUAAUAACAAAUUUAGUGAUCAUAAAUUACAUAUUCCAUCAAUUUGGUUAUGAUUUAACAAAUUUAGCCUGUAAUAUUCAUGUAAAUGUGUAAAUGUUGAGGCUAAAUUUGUUAAUUUUUUUUAGAAUCAAAAUCAAAUUAACAAAAUAUGUAAAUAUUGAUGGCUAAAUUUGUUAUUAUACCAAUCAAAAUCAUGCACAGUUCACAAUAAACAUUAAUACCGUGAUUAAUUGUCUUUAAUUACUCACUUUCAAAUUUUCCAGGGACUAAAUUGCUCCAAUUUUCUUGAGAGAGAGAUUAAUUUGCUCAAUUUUGAAAUUGAGAGGGAUUGGAAUUUUUUAACCGUGAUAUUAAUGUUCUGUUAUUUUAAAUAAUAAAAUUUUGACAUUAUGUCAAAUUUAACUGUCAAUGUUUGCAUAUUUUGAUAAUUUGACAAUUAUUCUUAUUUGGCUAAAUUUGAUCAUUAACAUUUUAAAAAUAGAUUAAAUAACUUUUUAAUAGAAAUGCUAACUAAAAUAUUAAAUUUUUAAUGAUGUUGGCAUGACAUCCUGUAUGGCAGUUAUGUAUAUUUCACGCUAACGUGACAAUAUUUAUUUUAUAUGCAUGCCAACAAAUAAUUUAAAAAUUAUAAAAAUAUAUUAAAAAACAUAUAAAAAGUUCAAAAACUUAAAAAAAAAAACAGCAUGAAGUACAUGCGCAUCAUCAUACGAGCUGCCUUAUUUAAAAAAUUAACAUUUUAAUCAAUAUUUACGUUAAAAAACCAACAAAUUGACUCUUUUUUAAAGGUAGAUGGUCAAAAUCGACUCUUUUUAAAAGAUAGAAAGUCAAAUUUAGCUUUUAAAAAAAUAAUAAGGGCUAAAUGUGACAUUAUGUCCAAAAAUUAUUUGUCAAGAUUUGUUUAGAGUAGUGGCUAAAGUUCUUAUCUGAUACUUAGAUAACACAGAUUCGAACCCCAUCUUACUAUUCUUAAAAAAAUAGUUCUCAAACUAAUUUGAUCAAAUAAAUAAAAGAUAUUUAAAAAAUUAAGAUAAAUACAUGAAUUUUGAUCCAAUGUACAAUUUGAUAAAUAAAUUUUGAUUUGGUUCAAUUAUACACAUGAAGCUUAAACUGUGGUUCAAUUUUAUUUUGUUUUAAUUAUACACAUUUAAAUAAAUGAAAACAUACAUUUAUUUCAAUAUCGAACUAAUUUUAUUAUGUGUAUAUGUAAUAUAUUAACGUAAAAUGAUGUUUAUUCAAUAAUGUUAAUAGUGGUUUGUGAAAAUUAGAUUAAAUCAAAAUUUCAUAUAUAAAAUCACACAAUAUUAAAAUUCAUAUAUCACAUUAUAUAUUAAAUCAAAAUUAAUGUAUAUGGUAAUGAGCUUGUGUUCAAUUGUACAGGAAAAUAAUCCUAAUUUUAAUAAUUAUCCCUUCAAGAAUUUCUACCCAUCAUGAAGAAUGGAGAUAUUAACUAAGCUAAGGUCAGAUUUUGGGCCGAAGCUUAAGCAAACAAUAUGUGGCCCAACCUAACUGGAUUUCGAACUGGUUGAGGUUCACGAGGUGUUCGAUAAUUUGCCCGAGAAAGAACUCCCGCCAAUGUUAUUCGUUUCUCGUCUUCAAUAAGUUCAGUUAUUAAAUCAAAUUUAUUUAAUUUCGGUGGGUUUUCUUUUUAUAUUGCAGGGAGAGGCAGGGAUUCAAGUUGGUUACUUUGCCAGAGCUUCAACUCUCUUCUGAUUUUGAUUAGGAGGCUUCACUAAGAGUAACCGGAAAGUAAAAAUUCUGCUAUCGUUUCAUGCACUAUCCCUAAUUUUAUCAGCACACUUCACAAGAUCUUGUUUCAUCUUUUGAGAGAAUAUGACCCAAUGUACAAAAAAAUGGGGGGUUAGAUUAGAUGUAGUAGGUGAUAAUUACUUGUCGGCUGCUUGAAUCAUGCUAUAGUGAAAUGAAGGGUAAAUAUAGUGGCUGUGGUGCUUAGCUUGUGGUAGGUGUUAGUGUUCAGAUGAAGGUCUAUUCAGGGUUGAAGCCAGAAAUCUUUUAGGAGGCAAGGUUAAGUUAUAUAUUUUUAGUGGAGCUAAAAUGCAGUUUUACCAUUUUAUUGAUUUAUAUCUAUAUGAUUUUCAAAAGGAUUAAAUCGAAAUUUAAUUAGGUUCUCGGAGAUGCCUAUGUUUCCAAAGGAAAGGUAAGCGUCAACCUAGGCAAGGCAGAUAGAGAAAACAAAAAUGAAAGCAAUAAAUUCAUGAACAUGUCUAGAGAACUUAAUUAAAGGAAUUUGCAGUUGCAUGUGAUUUAUGAUCCAUUAUUUAUUACAAAUAAUUGCACGUCAGGUAUCAUGGCCUAUGAUUUCUUACAAUUACUAAUUCAUGUUAUUCUCUUGUCUGGAUUUCAUUCAUGUUAUGAUCUCUAGUAGCAGGACAGGUCAUAAAGCAAUAAUCUGUUUCUUUAUUUUCAUCAUAUCAUCUGCCCUCGAAAUACAUGGAAAAACUUCAAAAUUAUUAAACAUGCUCAUGCUGGACAUACAUCAAUAUCCGACACUUACAUUUGAAUCGAGAACAUAGGUCCAACUCAUACUGGGUUCUUCCUAUUCUUGAUGAUUCUUACUAUAAAAUAUUCUCAUUUUUUGUAGAUCAUAUUGUCUUGGGAUAUGAAGGGGACAAGCGGGGAAAAGCAAUAAGAGGAAAAGCAGAGUUGCAUUUAUAUUAGAAUAUGUAGAAUUAAAGGUGGUUUAGGUGCUAAGUUAGAUUAAUUGCUGGAAAUACAUCAAAGAUGUUAAACAAUUAUUGAAUUACACUGGUUUCCUUGAUCUGAGUGCUGGAUGAUUGCACCAUCAGUAUACUAUUUUUAUUUGUUUCGUUGAUUCUUGUGAGGUGAUGUAAUAUCCAUAUAAAAAAUGGUUUAUUGCAGGCAAUCUUGCUAGCACAUACUGGUAGGAAUAUUGAUGGUAUUGCUAGUAAGACAGUUCCAAGCUGAGUGCACGUAGAAUGCAACUACUUAAUGAAGUUUUGGAUUUGAACACACUUGCUUGGGGAUUUCAAGGUACUUAACUCACUACUAAACUCAUAUCUGCCCUAAAUAGAAAGAGACCAUUUUCGGUUAUUUGAAUCUACGUUGUUCCAACUCUUCAUUUCGUUCACGUAUAGUGAUACCUUAAAAAUAGAGCCAAAAACUUGAGAAAAAUUCAACAUACUCUUUUUAAGGCACAUAUUUUAAUAACAUGACUUUCGGUCAGAUAAAAGUACCAUGGAGGCCUCUAUACCAGGAGUCAAAUUACAUUUUACCCCCUACUAACAAAAUGGACAAAUUAAUCCCCAUACAUUAAAUAAAAGAGCAAAUUAAUACUUUUACCCUUAUACAAAGGCGUGUACUUUUACUCUUCUAGCUGUGAUAUAGAAUUUUGCCCAAAUUUAUGGCUAGCCCUUGUCGUAGCUUUUGUUCGAGACCUUUCAUCGAAACUCUCAAGGCAUGGUCUUCUUUUUCUUCAUGCCAUGAAAGUACAAUAGAGUAGGGUGGCUAGCACAUUAAUAGCCAUUUCGAGUUGAUUGAUGCGGCACAUGGUUUUUAUUCUGCAUUUUUAUAGAAAAUGUUUUAUGUCCAACUUGUUUGAUUGCCAUUUGGGCUUUAGUGCUACAAUCUAUUAAAUAAAACUACCAAACAAAUAGCUUUUAUUUUCGAGGGCUAUUCCGAUGAGUUCGGAACUGAGUUCAACCUUUGAUUAAAUUCAUUUUAGGGUCAAAUCCUGUCAAAGGAGCAUAAGUUACCCAUUAACCAUUGAGACCCCAAAAAUUCUUUUUUAUUCCUGACGUUUCUUCAUGUUCAUGGUCUGAGUUUAUAAUAUUUAAUUUACUCUUCGGCCUGUAUUAUGAAAAUUAUUCAGAUCUCCAUGUCAGAAAUGAAAAAGGGCUUCUUCUAUUUUCUUCCCCAAUCAUCCAUUGCGUUACAUAAGGAGAAGUUUCUGUGAAGAAUGAGCCACAACAACCCAACUUAACUUUUCUAAGUAAUCUGUUGAUACAUUGCUGGAGUUUCGUGGUGGUUUAUGGGUUUAUCUGGCGGGCGGAGAGCAGUAGGUAAUGAUAGCGGCCAGAGUUUGACUUCCUUGAGGGGCUGGAGCAUGAGAUAGUAGAAGAGUGUGACUGUUUGAAUCUAGAGCGAGAGAAGAGAGAGUUGCCCUGUUUUGGUGACCGUGGGUUUUAAAAAGGAACUCUUCAGAUCGUUUCCAAAGUCUCGUGUCAUUUUGGUAUUGGUUUUCUAUUGUUUGGAGUCCAAUCGACCUACAUGUAUCCCAUCACACGUGAUUGAGAAUACAUGUAAGCUCCAAACGAUCAAUUGGAACUAUCAAUGACUAUGCUUAUGAGGUUAUGGGUAGCAAGAUUUUGACCAUGCGAGGUUUAAGCUAGUAAGAUAAUCUUUAGAAGAGCAGUACGUUUAUUUUUAGUAAAAUUAAAAAUAAUGAUGAUGAUAAAAUUAAUUAUUGUAACUGUGAGGGUUACCAUCCAUCCAAAUGGGUAUUUAAUAUGGAAUCUCUAGCGAGAUGUGUAAAGUAUUAUCCAAACUUACAAGUAAUAUGUAUAACGUAAUUGAAUUUGUAACCAUAUUACUUUCCUUGGGAAAAUAAAGAUGCCACAUUUUGAAGCUUCAAUGGAUGUUGUUGCUGAAUAGUCUCAUGUUAGCUUUUGUUGUAAAGAAGCCGAUCAAGAAGCGAAAACACUACAUUUUCUUCUAGCAAAGUCCAAUAAUACCCUUAAAACAGGUAGUUCAAAACUUUCACCGUCCACGCUUACCCAACAAACCAAGCCAGACCAGACCAGACCAGAUACAGAAAGUAAAAUAAAACGGGGCAGGGGUCUAUCUUUGGGUGGUGCGCCGCCUUCACAUGUGAUCGGUGAGAUCAUUACGUGUGCCCUCCUGAUUAGUUGGAACUUACAGCUGUGUGGUGGGACCACUUGAUCGUUCCAAUUAGCCCACCGACUUUUUCAAUCACGUGGUCUUACAGUGACACCUUUCUAACAGCAAUCUUUGCGUCACUUGGUAACAAGCUCAUUUUCCAUGUGAUUUGCUAUUCAUACCCAUACUGACCAAAUCCAUGGUCUUUGAUCAUUUGUUUGGUAGUAGAUCAUGAUCUUCAUCCAUGGUGGGAAAUCGUUUCUCAAAUAUCUCUUCAUGUUUUUUAAUACCCUAAUCCCCAUAAAAUUGGCAUGAAUUUUAUUAAUAUACUUUUUAAUUUAAUUAUUUUCUUCAAUUUCUUUAAUUAAUGAUUUAGAUUAUGAAUUAUGAUGUAAACAUUAUGCCAAAUUUAUAAAAAAAAUAAAUAUGAUUUUAGUUAAAAUGAGAUUUUUUUUAGAUUUUUUAAAAUAUAAAAAAAUUAUGUAUGAGUUUAUUAGUUGUAUUUAAUUAAUUUAAAUCGAAUUAUUCAAUUCAAGUAAUUAAUUUAUUAAAUUGAGUUAUUCAAUUCAGUAAUUAUAAUAAUUUAUCUUAAUUGAAAUUGUGGAUACAUAUUAUUACUUGAUACUCAUAUAUUAAUUUAAAUAUAUAAUAUUUUUUUAAUUAGUGACGAAUUCAAAUACUGUGAUGUGAAGUUUUAAAAAGUUUGGGCGUCACAAAAACUCUAAUAUUCCGACACGUAAUUAGGGAUGGGGAUUCGAAAUAUGUCAACAAUUCAAUGCCCAAUGUUUUGACAUAGCCGUGAAAGACAUAUUAUGACCGACAUGAAUCCAAUGUAUUGUAAGAUUUUGGGGGGGUAAGUAUGGGAUUGGGGCCCUGUCGCUGCCCCCCAAAAAAGAAGGUGAUCAGUCAUGCAAUGUAUUUUUAGGGUGUAGCAAUUAAUGGUGAAUUAGCCACCACACUGCGUAGGUGGGAACGAAUGGAGGACCACCAUGCCUUUUUCUAACCUCCACACACUUCUUUGACUCCUACCUUUCUUCUGAAAUAUUUUUGUGUGUUUUCCUAGGAUGCUAUGCUUGGAUUCCUUUUUAAAAAGGAAAUUAUAAUUUAUGUAUGAUUAAUAUAAGUUCUUUUAUAUAAUAUUUAAAAUUAUUUAUAAUUUAUUGGAUAAUUCAUUUCAGCAUAAUUAAACUUACGUUAUCAUGUAUUAAAAAUAAUGUUUAUAUCAAUCGAACUAAUAUUCAAUCGACAUAUUAAUUAUAUUUUUAAGUUCAAAAUUAUUCGAUCUAAUUAAUAAGUUGUUGGAAAUAAAUUUCUUUUCCAACUAUUUAAAUAGAGUUUAAAUACUAAAGUCAUCAUUAUCAAAAACAUUUAUUUGUAUAUCAUUUUCGGUUCAAAUAAAACAAAUUUUAAAUCGUAAAAGAUUAUAUAAAAAAAAUUCAAAUCUAAUCUUUUUUUUUUAUGGUAUGUUGAGAUAUUUGUUGAAUGGAAAGGUACAUGUUUUCUACCUGCCAAAUUUGGUCCUUGAGAAUUUGAUAUACGCCUAUAUGUUUGAUGUAUGUAUGCAUAAUAUGUAAAUUUGAUUGAAAAACUUGAAUAUAAUUUUUAAAUAAUUAUAUAUAAUAUUACAUAUAUUUAAUAAGAUAAUAAUUUUUUGGUGGAAUUAAAAAUAAAUUUUAUAAUGUCUUAUAAUUAUUUCUUUCAAUAAUAUCUUUUUUAAAAUUUAAAUUUGAUUUUUUUUAAUAAUACAACAAAUUUUAUCUGGGUAAUAAAAGUAAAAAAUUUUACUUUGGAAACCCAAAACAAUAAUAUGAUUUAAAAAACAUUAAUAUUAUGAUGAUAAAAUGUUUUUUCGGGUGUGAAAAGCAACUAAAUUAAAAAAAAACAUAAAAAUACUAUAGUUAUCGUUUUAUUUUAACACUUCUCUUAAUGACUGCCCUGAGUCUUUAUUUGGUUCUGUAAUUGAGUCCCAUCUGUGAUUACCGUUAUACUUUGUUGUCAAACUUAUUGAUAUCUUUAUGAUUUCCAUUACACUGCAUGAUAAGUCUUCAAAAACAAAUAAAUUCUUGUUCUUCCAUAUUCAUCAUGCAACCAAAUCAAAUAGAGUAGUCUUAAGAAUGCUAAUUCUUGACACUCAAGCAUAAUUUCCUAAAUUUGUUCCAACCCACUCUAGGAUAUUCUCCGAAAAGAAUUGGGUAUGCAAAGUUGUAGUAACAAGGUUUAACGAUGUUUGAUAUAUGCAUUUGUAAUUAAUAUAACAAGCUCGGUGUUCGGUAAGGUCAAGUCUUGCCUUUUGCAUUUAUUUAAUGUUCUAGGCUAGCCUACCCUACAUUCAAUUUGCAACAUUUAGAUUAUUAGUAGUAUUGUUUAACGAAUUAUUGCAUGGGUUAGUCGGACAUAUUUUCUCAUGCCACUACCCAAAUGGGAACUAACUAAAUACUCUAAAUAUUAAUUCAUUUGACUUAUUAAAAAAAAUGGUGUCCGAAUACAAUAAUUUAUUGUAAAAAUAUUAUAUUUUUAAAAAUUACUUAAAAAAUAUGAUUAUUUUUCUCUUUUCAAAAAAUGACUACAUCAUGUUAAUUGGUGAGUUUACUAUAUUUUUUAAAUGAGUUGAAAUGUCACGUAUCAAAUAAAAUUACUAUAUAAAUGAUGUUUCAUAUGAAGUUAACACACGACACUUCGAUCCGGUAUUAAUAUUUUUAAAUUUUAAAUUGUGGCAUAUGUCGUAAAUAUAAUAAAUCCUUUUUGAAUAUAUAUUUUAAAAAAUCCAAAACCCUGUAUACGUGGAAUUUAAUUGAUUUAUAUAUAAAAAAUAUAAUAAAGGAACAUAAGUCGAAGCAAGCUUUUGAUGGUGGGGGCAUCGGAUGGGAUGUACUUUAGCUAUUUCCUAAUUAAUUUCCACAAGUCUUUAUUUAAUGAUUUUCUCAUAUAUAAUUAAUUAAUUGUUUUUUUUUUUUUUAGCUUUGAGUGCAUUCGCUAUCAUAUCGUCCUUUGAUUUAAUUGGAAAGACAAUUUCAACAUUCAAAGUACACAUCAAAUAGACCUCAUGCUUUUAUAAUUUGUUUCUACUUAAUUUCUUUCCAAAAUUCCCCCUGUAAGAUAGAUUUUCAAUACCACCCCACCACCAAAAUAUAAUAAUAUUAUAUAUAUGUUACCCUAAAAUUCAAUUCAAUCCAACUAAAACUUUACUUUGGCUUUAAUUAUCACCAUUGUUCAUGAAAAUUAACCCAAUGCAUUAAAAACGCCAUUUUAUAAAAUACAUAUGUUCAAUGUAUUUAUUUUUGUAAAAAUUCAAGAAAAUUGUUAUAUUUUAGUAAUUGUCAACCCGAAUCAUAGAAAAUAUUUAGGCCUCUGACCCACGACCUGGACGGAUUUCAUAGCAAGACGAGUUUGUAGGUACAGUUUGCAAGGAGAGCUUGCGGAUACAGUUCGCUGAGGGGGUCUGCAGGAACAACUUGUAAGUUAGGGUCGCAGAUCUAGUUCGUAGGAAUCUAGAGAAGGCCACGGUUUCAAUUUGCAUACGUCUAAGGGACUCGCAAAGAGGACCUUGUGCCCUGCACGCCACCAAGACACGUGUCUAGCAAGUACUAAACUCGCUUAGGGUAUCAACCCCAAGAGUAGAAAGGACAGCAAGUUCCGUAGACACGUGUCCAACAGGCCUGGAGCUCACAGAAUGUCAGUACAAAGAGCAAGGAAUGUCAAUAACAGACGCAAUAGAGCCAAGACAAAGUAGGCAGUCCCUGUUAUAAGCUGUAAUAGUACUAAUGGCAACAUAUAUAAAUACCCUGACAUUCCCAUCCGAGCAAAAUAUUACUCAACAAAAACCAAUACAUUAAUUUUAUUUUUCUUAAAAUGCACUUAAAAUAUUAAUAAUUUAGAGUGCAGCCAAACUAAACUUUACAUAUGGGAUAAAUUUUUUUAAAAAUAUAAUAAAAUAUCAAACCAACAGGUGAAGUAUAUGACCGGAUUUUAUUUUAUUUUUAUUUUUAAUUUAUCGCACUAACUUCUUUUAAUCACUUAAUUAAAUAUGGAAAUACAUAAAAAAAAUGCAAUCAUAAUGAUUAUUUAAUGAUGUUUGGUCUUUGAAAAAGCCAUGUGUACGGCACAGCAUUAUAGGCAAAUUAAUACCCAAAAACAAAAUGGUAUACUAAAAUUAAAAAUAUAUAUAUUUAAAAAAAUUCACAAAAAGAAGAAUUUUAUAAUUAUGUGUUAUUUUUAUACAUUUUAAAAUAUAUAAAAUUUAAAUUUUAUGUUUAUCACCUUAAUUUAUGCCAUUGAAUAUUGAUUAAUAUAUUUAUUUUUUAUUUUUUAAUAAAACCUUUUAGAUUUGGCCAACAAAAGUGAACUGAUUAAAAUAAUAAGAUGACAUACUUUGCUUAUCUGUUCAUGAAAUACUAUUAUUUAAUUUAGCGUAAGAAUUUUUUUUUUUUUUUUGUUUCAUCUCAAUUAUACAAAAAAUAUUUGGAUGUUUCCAAUAAUUGGGAUUUCAGAAUAUAAUUAAUUAAUUAAUCAUAUUCCAAGCACAUUAUUGACUAUGGACAUGCUUAAAUGCUCCCUUUAAUUAUAGGAGAUAAAUGAUUUAUGAAUAAUAUUAAAAUAUUAAAAAAAUGCAUAUAUGUAGCAUUUGAAAACUUUUUUUUUAUAUAAAUAUGAAAAAAAAUAAAAAGUGAAAUUCCUGUUUUUUAAUUUUAAUUUUAAGGGUAAACUAUAAAAAUAGUCAUUUUUAUUUGUUUUAGAUUACAGUUUAGUCACUUGUGUUUGAAAUGUUACGUUUUAGUCACUUAUGUAUUGUUCUGUUACGAAGUGGUCACUCUACCGUUAAGCUUCGUUACUUCCUUAACGGUAGUCCUGCGUGACAGUUCAAAUGGGUUUUAAAUGCCAACUUAAAUGUCUUACGUGACAAUUCAAAUUAAAUUUAUUUAAGUAAAAACCUAUUUUCAUCUUAGUAACUUGAUAUCUAAGUUGACAUUUAAAAUAUAUUUUGACUGCCACGUAGGACUACCGUUAGGGAGGUAACGGAGUUUAAUAGUAGAAUGAUCACUUCGUAACACAACGAUAACGUAAGUGACUUAAACGUAGCAUUUCAAACAUAAGUAACUAAAAUGUAAUCUGAAGCAAAUAAAAAUGACAAUUUUUAUAGUUUACCCUAAUUUUAAAUGUAUAGUUUAAAAAAUUGGUAAUUAUUUAAUCGUUGUGAAUUUUGUGCCUUAAAUUAGCUAAUUUUAAGUAUUUAAACUUUAAAGCCUUGUUAAAGCAAUUAAUUAAAAUUUAAGUUAUGUUAACACUAAUUUUUUAUUAAAUUUAUUGAUAUGAAAUUUGAAAAAAAAAUUCAAUUGAUAAUAAUAUAAUUAAAAAAUGACGUCUUAUUAAAUUUAAAUUUAAUAAAAUAAUUUUAAUAAUGUUAUCUGAAAAAUAGAUAUAUUGAUUUUUUUAAAAUAAAAAUAUAAAGAAUAAAUUUUAAAUUUAAAAAAAAAUAUAGAAAUUUAUGACAUAUUUUAAUGGUUCAUAAUUUAUAAAUUCAAUAAAUGAAUAUUUUUAUAUUAAAAAAUUCAUAAAACAACUAACUUGUUUAAAUAGUAAGAAAAAAAAAAGGGAACAUAUCAAAUUAAAAAAAAAAAAGCAAAACAAAUCUUAUAAAGGUUUGACAAUAAUAGCAAAAGCAAAACAAAUUAAAAAAAAAAAGGUUGAGUUCAGUUGUAAAAGUCUUACAAAAAAAAAAAGAAAAGAAAAGAAAAAGAGAAAGUGUUUGCUUGUAAUAAUAAUUAUAGAUUUGUUGUUUGCAUGUAAUUACAUGGACAAAACAUGCUUAUGCUUUCUUUGUUAUCUUCUCCAUAGAUGAAAAGAGCUUAAAAAAACCAUAACCAAUCAAAACAAAAUCGAAGGGAAGUGUGUACUGCUUUCAAACUAUGGGUUCUUUUUCUGAACCAUCCUCAUCUUCUUUCUCUCGGUUUCUCAGCUUUUCUUUUAAGGAUCACACCAUCACAUUCCGGCUGCUUACCUCAACUUCACGGCAAACCAUUUACUGUUAAAAGGUCACCAUCUUUACUUUUAAAGGGUUGGUCUUGCUGAGUUUUUUCUGGAAUAGCCUGUUUGGUUUCUGAGAAAGUUUUUUAGGUUUUCUGUUUUAGUUUGGUUUGUAGAUAUUAAACUAAAUUGAGCUGCCUUGUUUCAAAAAGUGUGAAUUUCUUUUCUUCUUUGAAGAUCAAAUUUUGAUUCAUUUUAAUGGUACUUUUUAUAGUAACCUGAGAUUAAUCUUUAGUUUUUUUGAGGUCUUAUGUUCAGAAACAUGUUUAAAAUUGGAAAAUCUGUUAUAUUUUUUUCUUUACUUUUCAUCUAAUAAAAGAAACUGAGUAACUUUGCACAUUAAAUUUUGUUUUUUUUCUUAAAAUAUCUAUCUAUCUAUCUAUAUAUAUAUAUUAUAUUUCAGGCAGUUUCUUUGUAUUCUGGAAAACAGGCCCCUAGUGAACAGAAGAAAUUAGCUAAGGAAAACCCAACACUCUAUUUCCUUCCAUUUUUUUUCCUUUUACUAUAAAGGGAAAUUCUAGAUUUUCGUCUUUUUUACUUUUCAAGUUGCCACUUGCCAUUUCUUUCAACUUCUCUUUUUCCUGUUAUCCUUUUCUCAGUAACCAAACAGACCCCUUGAUGGGGUUUGUUUGGUAGCCAGCUAAGUCUAAAAAUGUUGAGAGCUUUUUUAUCCAUUUACUAGCUAGUACAUGUUUACCUCCUUCUCUAGAUGGAGAGGCUAAUGGUAGUGGAAUUCCAUGUCAUAAUGAAUAUUCUCUGUAAUACCCUUUCAGAUUCACAGGUUCCCGUAUUUGCUGAUAUGUAUAUAUUAUAUUGUUAGAUUCCUAUCUUUCUGAGUCAGAUCAUGUCUUUUCUUGGUUAACAGUAUCACUCAAAUUCAAUAUGCUUUGACCAAGCAUUUGUACAAACAAAUAUAUAUGUAUAUAUAUACUUAAAUGUAUGUAUAUGUGUAGAAGGCUUCCCUUGACAAAUUUUAUACUGUUUCCUUUACUUAUGUGGCUAUAUUUAUUUGUUUUUUCAUUAGGCAAAAAACUUUGGAUCUAUAAGAAGGGAACAAACAAGUUGUGUUUUUGAUAGUGAGUUUUGGAUUAUAGAGGCAAUGAGGCAUUUUUCCUCCAUGUUCAAUGGGUUGGCGAGGUCGUUUUCGAUGCGAAGAGGGAAGAAUUCGAGCAAUGGUGAUGGAAGAGAAGCUGCUGAGACAAUGGCAAAAGAUGCAAAGAAACAUGACAUGAUUUUGAGGUCUUCUGGUUUUGUAAAUGUCGAUGGUUCUAACAAUUUGGCCUCAGUUUGUUCCAAGAGAGGCAGGAAAGGAGUGAACCAGGAUUGUGCUAUUGUAUGGGAGGUAAGGCCUUUACCAUAUUUUUUCCAUUAGAAGAUUUGAUCAUUUUGUAUUUGAUAAAUGUGGCUUCUGUUUUGGAAUAGGGAUUUGGAUGUCAAGCAGACAUGUUGUUUUGUGGGAUAUUUGAUGGUCAUGGUCCAUGGGGUCAUUUCGUAGCGAAAAAGGUUCGAGAAUCGAUGCCUUCGUCCUUGCUUUGCAAUUGGCAAGAGACUCUAGCUCAGACAUCGCUCGACCCGGAUUUGGAAUCUGAUAAAAAGCAUCAGAGGUUUCAUAUAUGGAAGCAUUCUUAUCUGAAGACUUGUGCUGCUGUCGAUCGCGAGCUCGAACAAUAUCGAAAGAUCGAUUCGUUUUACAGUGGAACAACCGCCUUGACAAUUGUCAGACAGGUAACUCAAGCUUUUACUUCAUAUUAUGGCACACUACUGAUGAAAGCUAGUGAGAAUAAUUCACACUUUUAUAUUGGGCAGGGAGACAUCAUAUACGUAGCCAAUGUUGGCGAUUCUCGGGCUGUUUUGGCAACGAAUUCCGAUGAUGGAAACUUGGUUCCCGUUCAGCUUACUGUUGAUUUCAAACCAAAUUUACCUCGUGAGUAAUCUGUAACAACAAUCUCUGAAAAUGUUAAAAACAUAAACAGAUACCAUCUAGAAUUCUUACGUUUUUCCGGUUGAUUUGUGUUUGAAGAGGAGAGUGAGCGGAUAAUUCAGUGCCAAGGUCGCGUUUUCUGCAUGCACGAUGAACCAGGGGUACACAGAGUUUGGCUGCCUAAUGAAGAGUCACCAGGACUAGCAAUGUCUAGAGCUUUUGGUGAUUACUGCAUUAAGGACUACGGUCUUAUUUCGGUUCCUGAAGUCACACAGAGACAUAUAACCAACAAAGACCAAUUCGUUGUGCUCGCCACCGAUGGGGUACGCAUGCAUUCCAAGGUUUCAAUGCAACUUAAAAUGUCAAACAACACUAACAAUUGCAGAUAACUUGUUAACUACCUGCAGGUAUGGGAUGUAGUUUCCAAUCAGGAAGCAAUUCAAAUAGUAUCUUCGACACCAGACAAGGCGAAGGCAGCGAAGCGUUUAGUCGAGUUCGCGGCCUGUGCUUGGAAGAAGAAAAGGAAAGGCAUUGCAGUGGAUGAUAUUUCCGCUAUCUGCCUCUUCUUCCACUCAUCUCACCAUGAAGUUAGUCUUGUAACAACUUCAAAAUAGUGUGUACUUAAAUGAGCAAAAGAUUGCUGCUCUUAAAGUUUAUUACAACUAUAUAAUAUAUUUAGUUAGGCAGAAAGUAUUCGUUUCAUGCUCAUACAUUGCUAUCAUCCAAAAUUUUUCCAUGAAAAUGGGCCAAUUCCUGGUUGUCAAUUUGUCACCAUAUGUAAACAUAGUUAAGUAAAGCCCACAUGGGCCACAUUCUCAAACAACAUUGAUUAACAUAGAAUUCAGCUUAGCUUAAAGGUGGGUGUGUGGAAAAGUGAAAAAUGAAAAUAAAUAAAUUUUGAGUGUGUGUGGUAUAGAGGAAAAGUAAGAAAAGAAAAAAAAUAAUAAGAGAAUUAUUUUUCAUGUUAAUGCAUAAAAAUUAAUCAUUGGGGAAACAUACUUUUUAGAAGUUUUAUUUUAUGAAAAAAAAAUAUAAUUUUAAACUAAUAUUUAUCUCUCUUAUCAUCCGAAUUUGAAAUGAUUAAUUUUUAUGCAUUAAUAUUAAAAAUCAUCAUAUUUUCUAUUUUCUUUCCUCCCACUUUUUUUUCCAUACUAAAUACACUUUAUUUUUUUUCCUGCUUUUUACACUUUCUUCUUUUAUCCUUCCACUUUUUUACUCAAAUUAAGCACUUUAAAGAAUAGAAAAGGAAAAAAAACUAACUAACAAAAAAGAAACAAAGUAACUUUGAUGGGUAACUUGAGGCAUUUUGGAGUGUCUCUUUUUUUUAUUCUCUUUUUUUUCGGUAUUGGAUAAGUUAAGUGCACGUUAUAAAUAUAAUCAAAAUUUCAUGUUUAAAAUUAUAUCCGAAUAAAAAGAAAACACAUUCAAAUAACAAAAACUUUAUAUAUAUAUAUAUUCCUAUUAAUUUAAUUUUCUAAUAAAAAUAUUUGUGGAUUGUUGUAAAUUUGUUGGAUGUGUUUUUCAAAUUUUUCGUACAAAUUAACUAACAAUUAGAAACAAAGAGGUGGACAACAAAAUUCGGUUACAUAGUUCAAAGACUCCUUAGUAUCUGUAUGACUUUAUCCAAAGAGUGAUACACUAUAAAUCAAUAAAUAUAAGGCGCGAUUUAAAUUCAAUUCAUUUAGCAAAGUUUCCAUCACUCGCCCACUAAAAUUUUCCUAAUAAAACUUAAAUUUAAAAUGAACAACAGGAACAACAUAUUUAUAAAUAUGCAUUAAGUGUAAGAUCUCGUCUAAAUCUAAAACAAACUCUCCAUUAAAUAAAUGUUUAAAAGGCAUGCUAAAGUAUAAUAAAUCUAAAUCUCCAAUUCUUCAAAAAUAACCUUUGUAUAUGUCUCUAAUAAUGAAUAAAUUGACAAAGAUUUUUUCAAUAUAAACAUUAUUAUAGAUCAAAUAUCCUAAAUAAGAGAACUUUCGAUCACAUUAAAUGGGUUGCUAAGAAUCUCUUUGUUUUUUUUAAUAUAUCUAUCGGAGUGGGCUCAGAAACCAAUUCUCUGCGUUCUGUAGGCCCUAUAAGUGGGUAGAUGCUAACUAUAAGUUUUAAAGUUGCUACAUACAUAGGGUGGUGAUUGAACCUUCGACCGCUGAUUAAGGUAGGAAAAACUCUUACCAUCUCACCUAACUCCCGUGAUUAAAAUAGGUCAAUCAAAUAUAGCAAAUUCUAAUGCCCUCCCUAUGCAUGUUGAGUUGCAAUUGAUAUUAUAUCUCAUUCUUAUAUUUAAUUUUAAGAUAGAUACUCUCAUUGCUUGGAAAAUAUCAAGAAUUUUUUUUAGUAAAUGAUUAACCCAAAUCUAUUUCAGGGCUAUACAUAUUAUUUUAAAUUUUUUUGAAAAACAUUUUUUUUUACUUUUAAUUUAAUAUAUUUUAAUUUUAUAUUUAUUAAAAAUGUAUAUAUAGAUAACUUAAUAUAUUUUAAUAUUUACAUUAUAUAAUCAUAUAUUACUAUAAAUUAAUUUUUAUGCACUAUAAUAUACAUAAAAACAUAUAAAAUAUAUUAUAAAUUAAAAAAUGAAUCUGAGUUAGACUCAAACCUUUAAUAGCUGAGUUUGAACCUAAUUUAUAUUUUAAAUAGGAUUAAUUUUUUUCCUUAAUUUUUGAACAAACCUUCGAAUUAAGAGAAAUAUAAAAGUCAUAACAAGUCUUGCGAGCAUCGUCUUCCUCUUCUGACCCAAGCCCAAAGCUAAUUGUUGAAGGUAGACUAAUAGGCCGCAAAUUAGAAGACCCAACAUUUUCUUUUUUGCUCAAAUAUUUAUAUUAUUCUCUUUUAUCGAAGGUUUAAUGCUUGCUGAGCAAAAAACCUGAAACCUAAGGAAAAAUCAUAAAAGAAAAAAAUGCACCCAUUGUCUUCAAUUCGACAGCUUCGCCAUUCUUCUACUUCAGUAUUGCUUCAACGCUUUAGCAUCUUCAAUUGGGUGUUUCGAGCUUCUUCCAACCGCCCUGCUUUUCUCGGUAAGUUUUCCAACAGCUCUGCUUUUCUCGUUAAGUUUUUCCCUUCGCUUCCAAAUUUGAGUGUGUUAAGUUCUGGAUUUAUUAUCCAAUCCUAGAAAUAAUAUAAUUUGAUGAAUGUUAGAAACUAAACUUCGCAAACUUUGGAAUUCUCAUUGUGUACUUUUUGCAAAUAUUUGGUGGGCAGAACAUAAAGCAGCAAAUAGAAUUUUUUUUGAUCAUUAUAGUUACCGUAGUCAAUUUCUUGGAUCUAAAUAUAGAUUUGGAAACGAAGUUGAAUUUUCACCUGGGUUGAUUUUACUUCGAAGGAAUACAAAUUCUUGUAAACAUAGGGUCAUUUUAGGGUUGUGAAUUUUCAGUGAAAUAAUUUGUGUAUUAGUCAACAGAAUUGAUCAAAAUUGUUAUAGAUUUAAGGGCAUAGGAUUGAGCCAUAUAUCCCCUACAAAUUUUUUUCAUUUUUCAUUUGGGGCUGUGAAUGAAGUAUAAGCUGACAGGCCUUUUUUACUUUGAACAUUCAUUGGAUAUAUAUAACCAUAAGAAUAAGUUGAGCAACUCUGAGUAAACAAACUUGAGAUGAACUGGUCUGAAUGUUGUGUGUACAGUAAGUGCGAAAUUAGGGCUAAAGUGGUAUAUAGGUACUUGGUUUGCAAUCAGUGAAGGACUCCAUAGUUGAAAAUAUUUGUUAGUAGUCUUUUCCGACUGGUAUAACUGAUUUUAGUUUACAGGAGGUUCAAAGAGUUUCAGUGCUGGUGCACAUUCUUCUGAGAAUGUUGGAACUCCGGAGAAGAAUUUUGAUCAACAGACAAUGAAGGAUAAUGUCUCUGCUACACGUGCUUCAACUUUCCAGAAAUUUUUUGGUCCUUUAGGUGCACAAUCUACUGGUCAAACAGAUUUCAGGUCAGGCGGGAAUUACAGGUCUAUGGAUGUUUUGAGGGAAGCAAUAGAUGCAGAUAGAAUGGCAAACUUUAGGGGUUCUCAAUUUCGGCAAGACCAUAUCGAGCAAAACGAACAUUUUGCACACAUAAAGAUCAUGCGCAACAAUACCUUUGUCACCGUGACGGAUUCCGAUGGAAAUAAAAAAUGUGGAGCCUCGGCUGGAAUGUCAGGACUUUUAGGAGGCACGAAAGUAUCUAAGUAUGCUACUGAAGCAGUGGCAGAAUAUGCUGGGCGCAAGGCAAGGAAAAUGGGGAUUAAAUCGGUUGUGGUGAGAGUGAAAGGCUUUAUCCAUUUUAAGAAGAAAAAACAAGCAAUUCUUAGCUUUCGCGAGGGCUUUAAGAAUCCUAUUGUCUUCAUUGAGGACGUCACUCGUCAUCCACAUAAUGGAUGCCGGCUUCCAAAGAAGAGACGAAUCUAACUUCCUUGCCUUCUCUAUCUAGAGGGCUUGAUAGAGGCCGUGACGGCAUGUUGGUUGAGGUGUUGCCAUGGUAUGCUGUUAUAUCAACUCAAACGUAUUCAUGUUUUUCUAUUAUCAGUUACUUUAAAUUAUCCAUAAAUUUACUGGUUUGUCUGAUACACUGUUUGCUUGCCAUCUGAUUUUGAUGAGUUAGUUGUUGGGAUUAUAUCUCUUACAAAAUUGUUAAUGCUUCAUAUGCAGAAGAGUUCAUGUUCUUUAUCUGUCUUGUUUAUGAUUUUGAUUUGUUGAACCAUUGCCAGGUCUUUAAAGAACAAAUUGGGCCUCUGAUCUUUUUUCUUUUCCUUUACUUUUUCAAAUUGCCAUGUAAAGUAGAAGAUUGAAUGAAGGAUAAAAAAGUAAUUUUAUUGAAAAACAUUUUUUAAAAAAUUAAAAGCUAGAAAUUUUGAUUUUUUUUUUGGCUUGAUCUAAAAUUUCAAUUUAAAAUUAAGGUCUAAUUUGAAAAACUAUUUAUUUACGAAUUAGACAAAUAUGAAAAUGAUUAAACUCAAUGAAAGAUUAAUGAGAUUUAUUUAAAUUAAAUUACGUUACAUUCAUGAUAUGGUUGAAAAAUAAUAAAAAUUUAUAUAAAUAUUAAUAAAGCAUAUGUUGGACCGUGUGUUUAUUUUUAAUUGAUUUUUUUUUAUAAUUUUAUAGGAAAUUACUUUUGAGUUGACUCUUAAUAUCAUCUCAUUAGAGAUUUUAAAUAAUAGGAUAGAUAUAAUAAAAAUAUAAUUAUAUUUUUAAAAUGCAUAAUAAUAAAUUGAAUAAUUAAUAUUUAUAUUUUUUAUCAAUUUGACUUUUAUCUUUUUUUAGUUAAAUUGGGUUUAAUUUUUUAAAAAAAGUCAAAUUUGACUAUCAAUUUUUUAAAAAAAUUAAUUUUUUAAUAAAUAUAUUUACUAAAAUGUUAAAAUUUUAAACAUGAUAACUCUAGUAGUUUAUAUGUACUUUAUUUUAUUUUUUUAUAUAUUCUUUAAAAAUUUGAGUUUAUUUAUUUGAAUAUUUUUUAUAAAUUUUAAAUUAUUUUUUAAUGUGGUAUAAUAAAAUAAAUAGUAUCAUAUUAACAUAAAAUACGCAUAAACUAUUAUUAAAUUAUUAUGCCGACAUAGUUAAAAAUUUAAUGUUUUAAUUAAAAUUUCUCUUAAGAAAACAAAAGUUAAAAGAGAUUUUCACUAAAUUUAUUCUUUCAGAAUUCAACCUUUAGUCAUCUAAUAUUGGGUAAAAAUGUAAUUAAAACGAAAGUAGAAGGGUAAUUCUGAAAAACGAAAAACCAAUCGGCCAGUUUAAAAUUGAACCCGAACGCUAACCCUAAUCCAUAACCCUCAUCGUCCCCUUUAAAAGCUCUCUCUGCUCGUCCUUUAUCGCCUCGCCUCUUUCAUCUACGAUACUUCAAUAUUUCUCUCUCUAAUUUUCGCCCCCAUUUUCCCUUCUACUUUCUUUAAAAUAGACAUUCAUUUUUUGAUCUCUUGCCUUCCGUUUCUCCUUUAUUUUUAUUUUUUUCGCUUAGAAGUUUGCCGAUGAUGAUAAAUGUAUUAUCCCAGCUCAUUAUGAGACCUUUUUGUAGGGUCUGGGAAUUGAAUCUUAAUCCAACAUUUAUCUGAGUCUAAACAAACCUUUUUCAGAUUUUUUAAAAUUCCUUUUGUUGAAGUGUUAAAUCUUUAAUUAUUUAUGCUUUAUUUGUUUUACUCAUUUUAUGCUUUAUUUGUUUUACUCAUUCUAAAAUUUCCAAGUUUUUUUUAAAAUUUUAAUUUAGAACGGAUAUAUAUAUUUAAUUCAAUUUCUUUUCUGGUCUUUUCUUGUGAUUGUUAAAAGUUCCCAAUGAUGUUUGAAACGAAACCAUACUAAUGCUGAUUGUUCAGUGAUUAAAAAUGAUUUAUUUGAUUUAUUUUGAGGGAACUUUUUUUCUUAAAUGUUUAUAUUUUUCCUAUUUACGAGAACCGAUUUCUGGUUAACUUGUAAAGUUGAAAUUUGCCAAAAAAAGAGACUAAUAUCAAUAUUAUUGUGUCAUCAGUACGCUUACACUGGGCAAAAAAAAAUUGUUUUUGGGGAAUAUUUUGGUCUUGGUCUUGGUUUUUGGAUUGGGUUUUAGGUUGUUUUGGUUUAUAUAUAUAUUUUUUUCAAACUUGGUUGGGCCUUAAAUGUUUAGUAUUAUCAUCAUUUUAUUUAAUUUUUCAAAAUUUAAAUUAAUAUAAAUUAAAUGAAGAUUAUGAUUUAAAUUCAAAUUAAAUUGAAUAGAUGUAUACCAUGUUUGAAAUUAUCUAUAAUCAUUUUUUAAUUUUUAAAUAAAAAAAUAAUGUGAUACAAUAUAUUCUUGACACCUUUUUUUUUUAAUCUUAAUCGAGCUAGAUUCAAUCUGCUUCACAUUUGUGAACGUUAAAAUGUGGAUCAAAUUUAUGGUUUGAUAGAUGGGGGAAAACGAACGAAGAAUGAUAAACAAGAAGUAUAGGGUUGUGAGAGAAACAUCAAGAAGAAACUGAAUGAUCUAAGGGGUUGAGAUGUUCAUUUGACGUUCCCAACGGUGAAAACCUUUGAAUGAAUGGUGAAGAACAUCAUACAGGAAAAUGAGACCGAUCUGACGGUAGAUGACGACGGAUUGAGUUUCUUUUUAUUUCAUUUUUCUUUUUUUAAAAUUUUCGAAAGUUUUGACCGCAGUUGGAGGAAAUCUAAUUCAUGAAACGUGAGUGGAAAGACAAGGAGCGUCACUUUAGGGAUAAGGAGGGACAAGAAAAGAGAAAAAAAGAAUAAAACAUUAUUUAAUUAUAUCAAAUUUUAAAAGUAAAUUAUAAAAAUAGUUAUUUUUAUUUGUCUUAUGUUUCAUUUUAAUUAUUUAUGUUUAAAAUAUUAUAUUUUAAUUAUUUAUAUUAUUAUUUUGUUAUGAAGUGGUUAUUUUAUUGUUAAGUUUGGUAAAUUUUAAAUGUCAACUUUGAUGUUUUAUGUGUCGGUCUAAAAUCAAAUUUCAUCCUAACAAUUAGAUAGAUUAACAUGUAAGAUUACCGUUAGGGAAGUAACAGUAGAGUGAUUAUUUCGUAAUAAAAUGAUAAUGUAAGUGACUAAAACGUAAUAUUUUAAAUAUAAAUUAUUAAAAUAUAAUUCUUAUACUUUAUUUUUAUUUAAUAUUUAGAUGAAAACAAAUUCUGGAAAAAUGAAAAUAAUUAAAAAUAUUUUAAAUUAUAUAUAAUAUUUUUUUAAAAAUAAAAAUUUUGGUUUAAAAACAUUCCAUCUUUUGGACAUGAGAAAUUGAAGCCAAUAAAUAUGUUUGAUUGACACGUGGUCAUUUUCUUCAAGCACACAUCAUCAUUUGGUAGCAGCUGCUUCACAUGGACAACAAGGGAUGGCUUUCACCACCAAUCCAAUCAUUAUUAUGUCCACGCAAUAUAUUGAAUAAUAUGUUUACAUCAAUUACGUAUCUUAAUUUUUAUUAAUAAUCCCAUUUCAAAUUUUGAUAUUAAUAUCUCCCUUCAAUUUAUAACAUAAAAUUUGAUUUUAAUUGGACAAAAAUAAAUUUUAAAGUUUAUAUAAAUGCUUAUUUUUUAACAUGAACAUAAAUUUAAAAAGUUGAAGUUAAUUUUUUGUAUAAAGUAAAUAUUUAAUUAGAUAAACAUAAACUUAAAAUUUUAUAAAUAUUUAAAAUUUUACAAUAUUUAAUAUAACUUACAACUAAUUAGCAUAAAUAAAAAUUAUAUUUAUCAUCGGAAUUAAUCAUUAUAAGUAAUUAAUUAAAUAAUUAAAUCAACUCACAACUAACUUACAACUAUAUAAAUAUUUAAGUUAAUAUUUUUAAUUUUUAUAUCUAAAAUAAAUAAUUAAAUAAAAAAGUUUAAAAAUAGUUUGUCUAUUUAAUUUAAAUUAUUUUUAUAUGGACGCUUUUUUACUAUUGUUAAUACAAUUGCAUUAUGAACUAAGGAAACAAUAUUUCAUCCUUAAAAAGCUAUAAGAAAUGGACUAAUUGUCUUAAAAGCCCCUCUGUGUUAAGUUUUAGUUUAUUCGGUCUUCCUUUUUUUCUAAUUAACGUUAAUGGCCAUUCAAAUGUUACAACCUAACAAAGAUAUCCAAUUUAAUAAUAGUUUUUAAAAUUUAGCUUCUUAUUUAUUGUAAUUUAUUUUUGUGUUUUUUCCACCAUUUUCCUUUAAUACCCUUAAUAUUUUAUGAGAAGUUGGAAACAAUUGUAUAUAUACGUAUAUGAAUUAUUUAAAAAACCACACAGUCAAUUGAGUCUUAGUUCGAUUAGUAUAGGUAUUGUUACAAAAUCAUAAUGAAAUAUUAGAUUUUAUAAAAUUUCAUAAUUCUAAAAUAUAAAAUAUGAUAAAUGUUUAAAAUUUUCUUUAAAAAUGUUAAAUGUUAUACAAAAUAUUAAAAGGUAAACAAAUACUACUAAAAUUUUGUUAAAUUUUCUUAAUCAUAAUUAAAGCAUAAAUUAUAUUUAAAAAAUUUAUACAUAUAAUCAGUGGAGAGCGUAGUGGAGACCCAAGAGACCAUGGUUAAUUUAGGCCCUUCAUAAUUUAUAAAAUUAUAAAUAAGUAAUGAUAAAAUUACACUUUCACCUCUCAAAAAUAAUAAAAAUUCGAUUUAACCUUUUAAAAUUUUAAAAUAUAUAAACUAUUAAAAUAAUAAAAUUAUAUUUUUAUUAUUAUAAAAAUAUAUAAUUUAAUUGUGCGUCAAAAAAUUUUAAACUCCAUCAUGCAUAUAAACCCGCGCACAAGAUAAAAGAAACUAAUUAAAUUAUAAAAAUACCAUAAAUUUAACCAACUACAUUUAAUAUAAGAUUAGGAUAAAAGAUAUUUCCACCAUCAUUAAUUUAUUACAACUAUAAGACAAAAAGCAUCAUUAUUAAAGUAAACGAAUCAUCCAAGUUCUUCCACACUACCCUAACACAUACCCACCUUCUACCUCACCACCUUUUGCCACGUGGCUAAAAUACAUUUUCUUUAAGGUUAUUAUAACUUUUGGCUUUCAAUCUAACAAUGAAAUAUAUAUAUAUUUCACUUCAAUACUUAAAUAUAGUAAAUAAAUUUAUUUUGAUCCUUAGUAAAUUAAAAAAAAAUAAAGUAAUUCGAUUUAAAUAAAAAUUUUCGAAUAAUUCAAUAGUUAUUUUAUAAAUUUUUUAAAGUUAAGUGACUUAAAUCGUAAACCUAUUAAAAGUUUAGUGAUCUUUAGUGACUUAAUCGUAAACCUAUUAAUAGUUUAGUGAUCUUUAGUUAGUUUGCCCUAUAUUUUGUGUUUUUUAUACCUUAGCUAAAUAAUUAAGUCCAUUUUGAUCUUGAACUUAAAAAAAAUAUAUAUAUAUAAUUUGAUGGCAUGACACUCUAAAAUUGCAUCAUAUUAUCACUUGAAAAUAGUUUACCUAAUAGCAUUGUACAACCUGAAAGUGCCAUUUCAUCAAAUUGUUACAUAUUUCCAGAUUUAGGGACCAAAAUAAACUUAGAUACUAAGUUUAGGUACUAAAUGAACAUGCUUCCCAAGUAUAAGGGCCAAAAAUUGCAUUAAUCCAAUUCUUUACCACCCUCCACAACAUUGUAUAGAAAAACUUUCAACUACUGUUCUUCGCACACUUUUAUUUAUUUAAAUUACAGUAUUAUUACAUUACAUGUGAUGUUACUUGCAAAAAAGAAAAAACUGAAAACUCCUUUUCCUUUUCAUCCAUGUUUCAAGCAAAGAACAAGUCUGCCAUAUGUCUUAAUCAAAGUACCUUAAACGACGUCUCGUCGGUGCUGUCGCCGUCGAUAAUAAGGUGUCUCAGCGAUAUAUCGGAGAUGGACACGGUUCAUCUCAGUGUCGAUCUAGUGUCGGCGGCGAGACGAAUUGUUGGGUUCUUGAGAAGUGUUAAUGAAUGUCAGUGGCUUCAUCAGAGACCAACUAUUAUUGAAGCAAUAAGGAGGUCAGCUUUUUUUUUUUUUUAAUUUUAUUUUGCUAAUUGAAGAGAAGUAAUAUGAUCAGAUGUUUGAGGUUGAAUACUUGAAUGUGAUGAUGGGAGUUAUUAUUAUUAUUUUUGAUUAUUUGGUUAUAGGUAUGAUGAGGUAUGGAUGCCAUUGAUUUCUAAUCUGACGGUGGUGGGGUCAACGCCUCCUUUGGUUUUGCCACCUUUUGAUGUUGAAUGGGUUUGGUUUUGUCACACCUUGAAUCCAGUAAGUUUUCACUGUUAAUUCUGUUUGGUUGACGGGAAAAUGCGAGAAAAUGAUUUACUUGAAACUUGAAAGAAGGAAAAAAAGAGACUUUUUUCUGUAUUUUCUUUGACUCUUUUAUGAUUUGUAAAUCAAUGGUUUUACUUGUAUUUUUCACUGUAAUCUCUGUUUGGUUGAUAGGAAAGCUUGAAUUUGACUUAAAGAGAUGAAAUUUGUUUGUUCAUAUUUUUUCAGGUUGGUUACAAGAAAUAUUGCGAGUCAAGGUUCUCAAAACUAAUAGGAAAACCAUCGAUUUUCAAUGAGGAAAAUGAAGAAUAUGCAUUGAUGAGAUGUAAAGAAAUUUGGGUUCAAAGAUAUCCGGCUGAACCUUUUGAGAAUGAAGUAGAAUCAGAUUCUCAAGACCCACCAUUACUAAAUGAAGAUCUUUUCAAUGAAGUUCAAAAGCACAAGCUUUUAUACUCAAAAUUUUCACAACCAUAUUUGUAUGAGUUAGUGUAUUUGAUAGCUGCUAGACGAAGAUACAAAGGAUUUCUAUAUAUGAUCCAAAGAUUUGGAGAUGGGUGCUUUAGGUUUGUGCCUGCUUUGGAUAUUCUCCUAAUGCUGCUUACACACCAGGUAGAUUUUUCUUUUCAACAAUUAUCGUAUUAUUCGGAUUUGGGUGAAUAUCUAAUACGAGUAUGAUGAACAAUGAAGCAGAGCUAUCCAACAGCAUAUGCAGAUGAUUUGAAGGACAUGUGGGAAAACAUGGGGAAGGUGGUGGGGUUAUGGGAGACAGUGCAAGAAAAAGAAGUGGAAGAAACAAAUAAGAUCUGGGAAAGAACCUUCGAUGAACCUUAUGAAAAAGCUGGAGGUGAGAUAGCUAUGGCCAAGCGACCAAUCUAUUGGGAGAUUUCAGAUGUUGAUGUCAACACUAAAUAUAAGUCCAUGAUCCCAAGAUUCCUACUUGAGGUAAUUUACUAUCUUACUGGGGUAUUCAAAUAUAUGUCAAAAACGGGUACUUAUAGAUUGAUUUAGUGCCAUAACAAUGCAGGUAUGCAUUUUUGUGAGGCUCAAUGCUCGGAUGAAGGCAACAAAUGGGGACAUGAAACACAAUUUCCUCCGUCUCCGGAUGGUAAGAUGUCACAGGGAGUUGAAGCUUGAUAAAUCGAUCCCCGAUUUUUCGUAUGAUUCAUGGCAGAAAGCUUGGCAUUUGUACUGCGAGUUUGGAGCUCGAGGAUUGAUUGUUGAGUUUCGUGGCCGUGGCGGUCACUGCUUCAAAGGAAGUAAAUUGGUGAACUCAAUGUCAUUUUCUUGGAAUGAUUUGCUAAGGGCACCUUCUAUUACUUUGACAAGAGAAAUUGAUCAAGUACGAGUUGUUGCUUCUGUAACUCCCCCAGUUCAAGCACCAUACCUAUUGAAAUGUGUCCCGGAUAGAGUUACUGAUGAUUCUGGAGCAAUGAUAUCCGAUGUGAUCCUGAAAUUAAACAAUUACCGGCCCCAGAAAGGUCGUUGGUUGUCUCGCACGGUUCUAGACCAUGCUGGGAGAGAGUGUUUUGUUGUUAGAAUAAGGUAUGUUUUAUCAUAUCCGGAUAAAAUAAAGCAAAUUUGUUCUGUCUAUUUGAUGCAAAUUUUUGAAUGCUGUGUGGCAGAGUGGGAGAAGGCUUUUGGAGAAGAGGAGCUGAAACUCCUUCUGCUGUUAAUCGGGAGGAUCGAAUAAUUGAGAUUCGUGAAGGUUCUUGGUCUUAUGUUGCCAGCUCUAUCGGUAGAGCUCCCGGUAUGUUUCUUCAUCCGAUUUUGUAGUAUGCUCAACAAAGAAGCAUGUUAGUUGUUGAUUCUCUUUUGUUAACAUCGAUGACUCAGACUUUUCCAGUUACUUAUGGCCUUUUUUUCAAUCUGCGGAAUCUAAUUUAAGCAUUUGUUGCUGUUAUUGUUGCCAUCUAGUACAGAGAAAGUUGUAGGAACAGCAACACCGAAGGAAUCUCAGGAUCAGUGGCAAGCAGCAUGGCAGUUUUCAACAGGAGAUGACUUACUGAUAAAUUGCGGAUCUUCGACAUCGAGUUCCAGCCUAAGUUUUAGCCUGAAAAGUAGAGAAUCAUCGGAUUCAUUUGUAAGUUCCAACUUUUAGUUUCUUUGAACACCUGAGAUGUUCAUAGUUUAAAUUAGCAUUAUUUUGUAGGUGAUGUUGUUGAGGGGCAGGAAAAUGCAAUAUCAAAAUAAAGAAACCGAAAGCAAAGUAGCGGAAGACGAAAAGGAAGAUGAUGAUGGAUUCGUGACUCUCGUAAGGUUUACUGAAGAGAAUCCGACAGGAAGAGCAACAGCACUGCUUAAUUGGAGGCUGUUAGUGGUAGAAUUAUCGCCAGAAGAAGAUGCCAUUUUGGUCCUUCUACUUUGUAUCUCGAUAUUACGUACGGUAUCAGAGAUGACCAAGGAAGAUGCCGGGGGUUUAUUGGUAAGACAGAGGAUGAAGGAAGCGAAGCUCGGCGCUAGAGACUGGGGAUCCAUCGUACUCCAUCCUUCUUCACUAUCCUCAUCCAAUACUUCACCUUAUCUACAACCUUGGUAUUGGAAUGCUAGCCAAGUAAUGGCACAACAUGAAGAUACCGGUAACACAAGGAAACCGGCACCGGUCGAGGGCGGUGAUAUGUUGUACAGGCGAGGGAUCAUUACAUAAGAAAUACUUGAGAAAGGAUUUUAAUACCCUUUUCUUUAAAUUUUUUUUUUUUUAUUAUUUGCAGAUACUACCAUUAAAAUAUAACAUGAGUUAUAAAAUUAUAGUAAUUAAUUAAAUUGAAUCCAGGAAAAACCGAUGCAUUGAAUUCCCAAGGUUUUUAAUGAACUUCUUAACUAAUUAAUACUUUCGUAUGUAUAUAUAGGUGUAAUAUAGAAGCUUGUUUCAUCAUCAAGCUCUUAAUCUUCAUGGCCAUGGAAAUGAAGGUUUCAGCCCUUUGUAUCAUAUUUCUUCUCACCAUUCUCUUCUCUGAAUCUGUUGCUAGCUUUCCUUCUUCAUCCUUUAACACAGACUCCAUUUGCAAACACACCCCACAUGCAGAUUUCUGCAAAUACCUUUUUUCUUCUAACAAGCUGUUCAACACCCUCGACUAUGGCAGGGUCUCGAUCCAUCAUUCCUUGUUGAAUGCUCGUACUUUCCUCGAUUCAAUCAAUCAGCAUUUCCUCGCACACCCUCUGAAUUCGACGUCAAAACAAGCCCUUGAGGAUUGCCGGUUUCUAGCCGAUCAGAAUGUUGAUUUCUUGUCACAAAUAUCAGACAGAAUCAAUUCUUCUACCGACAGUUUAGACAGCGUCGAGGCUGAUGAUUUGCACGCUUUGCUUAGCGCUGCUUUGACUAACGUAGAAACAUGUCUCGAAGCACUCGAAUCGACACCGUCAGCAUCGAGAAUUAAGGACCGGUUUUUACAAUCUAAUGGAACAAAGAGCUUGAGUGUUUCUCUUGCAGUUUCAAAGCAUUGGGUUCAUAGCUCGACCAAACCAGAAAGAAACCAUGUUUUUCACAAGUUGAUUGUUGAUACCUACACUCCUUUAUCUGUGUUUAUGUCUUCUAACGAUAAACAAACAAUUUAUGAAUAUGCAACAGGGAAAAGGGAUGUUAAGACAUUAACAAAUGGGAAAAUUACAGUGAAACAAGUAGUGAUGGUAAGUCAUAAUGGAGAUGGCCAAUUCAAAACCAUCAACGAUGCCAUCACAGCCAUGCCGAACGUUACCGGUGACAGCAACGAAUACUAUGUGAUUUACAUACCUACCGGUGUCUACGAAGAGUACAUUUCGAUACCAAAGUAUAAACAGAACUUGGUUUUGGUAGGCGGUCUCAGCACCAACCCCACGAUAAUCUCCGGAAAUCGCAGCGUUGGCGGUGGCUCAACCACAUUCAGUUCAGCAACACUCGGUAAAAAUCAUAAUUUAGCUUUUAAAAUUUUCACAUUUUAUUGACUCAUAUGUAAUGUAUAACUUCUCUGUACCUGCAGCUGUCUUUGGGAAGAAAUUUAUUGCAGUGGACAUAACAUUUCGAAACACAGCUGGACCGAGCAAGUACCAAGCCGUCGCUGUCCUAAACGGAGCCGAUCAAUCCAUAUUUAAUAGAUGCACGUUCGAGGGAUACCGGAAUACCUUAUACGUCCACUCUUUCAGACAAUUCUACGUAAACUGCCAUAUUUUAGGCACCGUUGAUUUCAUAUUCGGCAAUGCGGCCGCUGUGAUACAAGAAUCUUACAUACACGCUCGACUACCGUUGCCAACACAAGACGAUGUCAUCACUGCUCAAGGAAGGACUGAUCCGAGCCAAAACACGGGCAUAUCGAUCAUAAGUUCCUUCAUUAGAGCCAAUGAUGAUUUAAUCUCAAACAUGGGAUUUACGAAAAUAUAUUUGGGAAGACCAUGGAAGGAGUAUUCGAGGACGGUUUAUAUGAGUAGUAGCUUGGAUGGAUUGGUUGCAGAUGAGGGUUGGAAAAAAAGGGAUGGAGAUUUUGGACUAAGUACAGUUUAUUUUGGGGAAUACGAUAACUAUGGUUUAGGAAGAGAUACGGGUGAUAGAGUGGAUUGGCCUGGCUUCCAUAAUAUGACUAAAACUGAAGCUCUUAACUUCACUGUUGCAAGAUUCAUUCGAGGUAAUAAAUGGUUGCCUGCAACUGGUGUUCAUUAUUUUGGGGGCUUACGUGAUUGAAACCUUUUUGCUUUAACUAGGGAAUUCAUGUUAAUAAAUGAUGAGUUGGGUGCCUAAAAAUAAAGAGUUAUUUUGUUUUAUAAAUGAAAAUAAAUAGUUAAUUAGUUAGUUGACUCUCUUACAUUGUUUUUCUUGAACUUUUUUUUUAAUCUUGAAUUAUAACUUCAAAAAAUCGUAUAAUUGACUAAUAUUGAUAAGUAUAUCAUGGAAGUUAUUGUAUUGUCUUCUCUUUAUUUUAAAAUAAGUAAAAUAGUUUAUGUAUAUUAAAUUAAAGAACAAAUUGAUUAUUUUUCUUAAAAAUUUCACUCAUUUAUACUGUUAAAAAUUACCUUUGUUGACAGAAUAACCAAAUAAUGAUACGUGACAUGUCACGUGUACCUUCUGCUGACGAACAGAGUAAUUUUUAACAGUAAAAAAGAAUGAAACUUUUAAUAAAAUGACUAGUUUGCUCUUUGAUAUAAUGUACAAAAACUAAUUUGCCCAUUUUUUGAAUAUUGGGGACAAAAUACAAUAUGACUUCUAAUAUUAGAAUGACAGUUCCAAUAAUUUAAAACCUUACAUAGUGUUUUACUAAUGCAAUUAGUUCAAAUUUAAAUCCUAUAAUAAGCAUAUUUUCAUUAGUUUUUUAAAUAAAAAAAUUAAAUUAUUCUCGAAUAAUAUUACUUAUUUUAAUUAUGAAAAGAAAGUUUUAUAAUGUUUUUUAAUUGAGUUAGUCACCUAGUUAAAGUGUGACACUAACUUAGUAAAACACUAAAUAAAUAAUAUAUAUAAUUGAUAGAAGUAAUAAAGUACGCAUAAUAAAAAUUGAGAUGCAUAUCACAAAUAUUUACCCAUCCAUCUUAUAAAGUUUGAGGCUAAACUUUCAUUCUUAACACGUUUUUGGUUUGAUGAUAAUCAGUGUUUUCAAAAUUAGCUUGUAUUGACCGGUUAGAUUAGUUAGAUCGAGAAUUGAGUGAUAUACUAGUUUAGAAUUUAAAAAAACAGUUAAAUUAUGUUAAAAAUCGAUUCAACUGAAUUUUUUUUAAAAAAAUAUUAUAUUUUUUAGUAAUUUAUUUAAUUUGAAAUGCUGACAACCAUUUAUACGAUAUUUGAAUUCUGAAUGAAAAGUUUUGAUAAUUACCUCCAGCUGUUAACCUGGUAUAACUAAAAGAAUCUUAGUUUACACCAUAAUUAUCUCAAAAUAAAUUAAAGUGCAAGAUCGAUUCACGAUUGAUGACUUUGUUAUGCUAAGUUUAAGAUAGCUUUAUUUAGAUGGCAUAUGGUUUUGGAGCAAAAACAAAUAAAAUAAAAUAGGUAAAAUUAUUAUAAAGGUGUUAGGAGUUAGAUAGUAUUUUAUUUAUAUUUAAAAAAUAAGUAAAUUAGUCCCUAUAUAUUAUAUCAAAAAGUAAAUCGGUCAUUCUAUUAAAAUUUUUAUCCAUUUAUGCCAUGCUAUGUCACAUAUCACUGUCUGGUAAUUCUAUCAACUAUGUCAGAUUUUAACAAUACAAAUAGAUGAAAGAAAAAUUAAUUUUUUAUUUUAUUUUAUUUUAUAAAAAAUUACCAAUAAAAAUAGGAACAAUUUUGUAACUAAAAAAUCAUUGGAGUUUGCGAAGUGGUAGGGGAACCUCAAGUUAUAAUACUAAAAAUAACCAAAAUCCAAUAUAUAAAAGGCAAGGCUUCAUCUCCAAUGGAAGCAUGAUCUUUUAAGUAAGAGUCAUCAAAAAAGAGAAAAAGCCAACCACACUUCGGAGGGGCUUCAUUACCUUCGAAGGAGUUGGCAAUUGAAUUUGUUGCCCCUCCAAUUUUUUUUUCAUUUUUAAUAGAAAAAUUUACGAUUAUGUCGAGCUCGGAUGAUGCUGAGAGGAAGAAGCGGAUCGCUAUAAUUGUGGUCUCCUCUUUCCUCUUAGUGGCCGUGGUGGUGGCGGUGACGGUCGGGGUUAGCAUCCAAGAAGAGGAGAGCGACUACGACGACAGAACCACAGAUGGGAAUAAACACGCUCAGGUUACUUCCUCCAAGAAGGCUAUCAAAAUGAUUUGUCAACCAACCACUUUCAAGAGAACAUGUGAAGAGCAGCUCCAACAAGAAGCUGGGAACAAGACGGAUGUUAAAGACCUAAUUCAAGCGGCGUUUAAGGCAGCCAUAAAGUACGUGGAGCAAGCUCAGGCGAAUUCCACCCUUUUGAGGGAUCUGGAGAAAGAUGAAGGGACUAGAAGUGCUUUAGAUGCCUGCAAGAUUUUGUUGAAUUCUACCAUGAGCGAAUUUAACAAGUCACUUGAACUUGUUGACAAGAUAGAAGUUAAUACAGUGAAUAAAUUGUUGGGUGAUAUGAAGAUUUGGUUGAGUGCUACCAUUAGUAACCAACAAGCUUGUUUAGAUGGGUUCGAAAAAACCAAAUCAAAAACAGAAGCUGGGGAGAAAAUGAAGAAGUUCUUGAACAUCACGAUGCAACUCAGUAGGAAUGGUCUUGCCAUCGCCUGUGAGUUAUCGGAGCAACUUCAACAGUUGGAGCUUGCCGGAAUGUUUGAACGUCGCCGUCUUCUCCAAGACGAAGAUGGACUUCCGGUUAUUGGCCAUUCUGAUUGGACUUCCUUUUUAGAACGAAACAAGGAAUGGAAUCGUCGCCGUCUUCUUCAAGACGAAGAUGGACUUCCGGUUAUUGGCCAUUCCGACUGGACAUCCUUUUUAGAACGAAACAAGGAAUGGAAUCGUCGUCGUCUUCUUCAAGACGAAGAUAGACUUCCGGUUAUUGGCCAUUCCGAUUGGACAUCCUUUUUAGAACGAAACAAGGAAUGGAAUCGUCGCCGUCUUCUCCAAGACGAAGAUGGACUUCCGGUUGUCGGCCAUUCCGAUUAGACAUCCUUUUUAGAACGAAACAAAGAAUGGAAUCGUCGUCGUCUUCUCCAAGACGAAGAUAGACUUCCGGUUAUCGGCCAUUCCGAUUGGACAUCAUUUUUAGAACGGAACAAGGAAUGGAACCGCCGCCGGAUGCUCCAAGAAAGCGAAGACCUCUCCGUUAUUGGGCAUAUGGACAUUGAUCUCGAAAUUCCAGCAGGAGCUAGGAGAUUGAUGUCGACUGAUUUGAAGCCUGAUCUUAUUGUUGCCCAGGACGGUAGUGGAGACUGUAAAACCCUUAAUGAAGCCAAACAAAGAAUCCCUCCUGGAUCCACUAAGCCUUUCGUCAUUUAUGUCAAGGCCGGAGUUUACGCUGAGAAUAUUGAUUUCACCUCCGAUUUGACCCAUGUUGCACUGGUUGGAGAUGGUAAAGAAAAAACCAAAAUCACUAGUAAUAUCAGUACUGGUCCUGAUGGAAAACCCACUACCUACUUCACUGCUACCGUCGGUAAUUAUUAUAAAUUUAUAGACUACUACAGUCCUAUCUCUAUUUAUAUAUGUAUAUAUAUAUAUCUAUAUUGUAAUUGUCGUUGCAUAUGUUGUGUUGCUUGCAGGUGUUGAUGGAGACCACUUUUUUGCCAAGAACAUUGCGUUCGAAAACUCAGCCGGGCCAUUGAAAGCACAAGCAGUGGCGUUAAGGUUACAGUCAGAUUUUGGAGUGUUCUACAACUGCUCGAUAGAUGGUUACCAAGACACACUAUACGUAUUCAGCAAACGCCAAUUCUUCCGUGAAUGCACCAUUUCUGGAACAAUCGAUUUCGUAUUCGGCGAUUCAGCGCGGUCUUUCAAAAAUGCAAAUUCCUUGUCCGGAAGCCACAGUCAGGACAACAAAACGUUGUUACGGCACAAAAAAGAUUAGACCAUAACCAGCCCACAGCUUUUGUGAUCAUGGACAGUGAAAUCAUCCCAGAUGCUGAGCUUGCACCAGUGAAGAACGAAUUCCCAGCAUUCCUUGGUCGUCCAUGGGGUAAGCUAUCCAAAGCUAUCAUUAUGCAAACUUACAUUGACGAUAUGGUACACCCCGAAGGUUGGACUAGUUGGGAUCCCAAAGAACCGACAAAUCUUUGCCAAUACGCCGAGUUCAAUAACACUGGCCCUGGUGCUUCCACUUCCCUUCGUGUUAAAUGGGCUGGAGUUAGGUUGCUUAACGAGGCAGAGGCCAUUAACUACACACCACCCAAGUUCUUUGACGUCGGUGAUGCUUGGAUUAAGGAGUCCGGAGUCCCUUACACCUCAAAUCUUUCCACUGGUAAAACUGAAGACAAAGGGUUGAUCCCUACGUCCCUAGAUGUUCCCGCUAGUAAACCCGAAAACAAUGGGUUCAUCCCUACCUCCCCAGAUGUUCCCGCUAGUAAACCUGAAAACAAUGGGUUCAUCCCUACCUCCCCAGAUGUUCCCGCUAGUAAACCCGAAAACAGUGGGCUCAUCCCUACCUCUCCAGAUGUUUCCGCUAGUAAACCCGAAAACAGUGGGGUGAUCCCUACCUCCCCAAAUGUUCCCGUUAGUAAACCCGAAAACAAUGGGUUCAUCCCUACCUCCCCAGAUGUUUCCGUUAGUAAACCCGAAAACAGUGGGUUGAUCCCUAUCUCUCCAGAUCUUUCCGCUAGUAAACCUGAAAACAAUGGGUGGUCUCUAUCUCCCCAAAUCUUUCCGCUAGUAAAGCCGCACACAAAGGGGAGAUAAAGCUGAAGAAACAUAAACACAAGAAAAAG
rnacentral:lncRNA from 1 species